GUAUAAUGGCAUAAUUUGGCAUGAACAUACUUUAUAUACAAAGUUAUGAAAAAUUGUGCUGUGAAUGGAUAAUUAUGAAUGUAAUGCAUUCCACUAUUGUCAUGUAUGUAAGAAAUUAAAAAAAAAAAAAAAAAAGAAUUACAGGCUCCCAUGCAGCAUGCUACCUGUCAUCAGAUUGUCACUGGUGACUGUGGGAACUUCUAGGUUUACAAGGUGAAAAGAAAAAAGGUAAUUGGAAAGUUUAGUGUAGGAGGUAAUUUUGUUUGUUUUGGUUUUGGUUGACCAGCUUCCAUUUCACUUCCUAAUAAUACCCAAUUUCCUUUUGAAGGAGGAUAUCUUUCCUCUUGGAGUCAGUCUUUUGGAACUAUAAUUAAGAGCCAAACUUACCUUGAAGCCCACCUUAUUCUAAUGAGGUAUUUUCUUCCUAGAAUUAGACUCUUGAGCACAGAGACCAAGAAAAUUAAAAAGUGUUGAAUAGAAAUGGCCUAGCAGGCAUACAGUACCUGCUACGAGACCACCAUAGUGAUUCCUGGUGCCUUAGUCAUCCAUUAAUUACCCCAAUAGUGGGCUCUAAUCUUCUAAUAAAUUGCUCUUUCCAUAAUUUAGUUAGAGUUACUUCUUUUACUGUUAACUAUUAGUAUGAUAAAGUUUGUGUAAGAAAUUAUCAGGCUGGGCGAGGUCACUUGGAAGCUGAGACAGGAUUGCAAGUUCAAAGCCAGCCUCAGCAAUGUAGAGAGCCCCUGUCUCUAAGUAAAAUAUAAAAAAGGGCUGAGGAUGUGGCUCAGUGGUUAAGCACCCCUGGAUUCAAUGCUGGUACCAAAAAAAAACAGAAAAGAAACUAUCAGAAUAACAGUUCUGAUAUCUUUCAGUACUUUGAACCAAAGCUAUUAUAUGAACCCCAGAAUAAAUAUCAGAUAUAAUUUGGUUCAAUUUAUGACUGACUUUCCUAACAUGGAAGUGUGUAACAUUCAAACAUGAAUCUUCAUAGGAUCAAAAUAUCACUUGUUUGGAUUGGUUAUUAGAAUCUAAAAGAAAUAAUUCAAAACUAUAUUUUUAGUUCUGUCUUCAGUGGAUCUAAAGUAAAAGGUAAGACUGAAAAUGAGGAUCAGUCUUACUACCACCCAAGUAAAUAUAAAUUGAGUACUAUACUUUCAGUUCUGCCAAAGUUAAAAAACUGACAAUAUCCAUUACUGGUGAGAAUAUGAACAAAA
rnacentral:lncRNA from 1 species